CCUACGGGAGGCAGCAGUGGGGAAUAUUGGGCAAUGGGCGCAAGCCUGACCCAGCAACGCCGCGUGAAGGAAGAAGGCUUUCGGGUUGUAAACUUCUUUUGUCAGGGACGAAGCAAGUGACGGUACCUGACGAAUAAGCCACGGCUAACUACGUGCCAGCAGCCGCGGUAAUACGUAGGUGGCAAGCGUUAUCCGGAUUUAUUGGGUGUAAAGGGCGUGUAGGCGGGAAUGCAAGUCAGAUGUGAAAACUAUGGGCUCAACCCAUAGCCUGCAUUUGAAACUGUAUUUCUUGAGUGCUGGAGAGGCAAUCGGAAUUCCGUGUGUAGCGGUGAAAUGCGUAGAUAUACGGAGGAACACCAGUGGCGAAGGCGGAUUGCUGGACAGUAACUGACGCUGAGGCGCGAAAGCGUGGGGAGCAAACAGGAUUAGAUACCCCAGUAGUC
rnacentral:rRNA from 1 species